GGAUGUGCUUCUGAGGUUUGCUGGAGAUGCUGAGCCUGCCUCCAGACGUGGACGCGGCAGAAGGAGGAAAUAGGGACUCGCCAGCUGCCGGGCCAGAGGACAGAACUCGAACGGAUCAUACGACCAGAGCUCAAGGUCAACACAAACUUGUACCAUGUACCUUCUGCGACGUUACCAAGUAAAACACGACAAUUUACACAGUAAGUAAGCUGAAACUGUACUGUAAAAGGAAGCCUAGUUUGUUUCCAUGGUAUUACCAGGCUCUUACCAUAUAAGUUGUAACUGGUUAUUCCCUUUUCCAUGCAAUCAACACAAACCAUAUAUGUUCUGCAACAUCGUUCACCAGUAGUUAAGCACUUUAAUUGUUGUUAUGAAACCCCAAACCACUGUUGAUGAAAGGCAUAUUCAAAUUAAACAAAAUCAAAGGCUUAUCUUUCAAACAAUGCAUAUCUCACAAACAGGCACUGAACACUGAAGAAAUCUGACAAAAAAAAGAGCCGUCCACAUCAGCUCAAUUUAAAUGUUACUGAUGGUGUUUUCAUAAAACACAUGACAUUGUUAUGGCAAGUGACCACAAGGAAGACUGCUUCAACCUCUUCCAUUUGAAUAAGCGGUGAAUGCCAUGCAGCAAUCUGCCUAUGGGAGCAUCUUUGUGGUCUUUCGCAAACCAAUGAGUCCACUCGAUGAAUGAGAGAUGACUCUUUAGUGUCUUCUCUGUGAGGUAUCCCUGCAGUCUCCACAUCUGGGAUUUGAAGGCUGACCAAGACCUGAUCAGGUACCUCCAAAUCACCCCUUCCAUACUGUAAUAAAGAAUCAGAAGACAAGAAAAUAAACAUUAGGACUGUCAAUUAAUUAACAUUUCUAGAACAUGUAGAACUCAAAGAUUAUUUUGUUUAUUAGUUUAAAAAAGGAUGCUGGUCCUCUGGCCAUUGUGUUUGGUCAUAUUGAAAAGAGAAAAAGGCAUAGCCAUAAAUACAGUUAAUAGGACGGGAGGGGACAGGCUGUUAGCUCCGGUUAGCACUUUAGCAUCGAGCUAGCGGAGCUUCUGUCAUUCAAAUAACUCGGACAUGUUGUUUAAAACCUAUAACACCCAAUUUAUUAAAAUAUCCGGAUUUAAUCGGGCUCUCUCCCAUAAGUACAGUUAAUGGGACGGGAAGAGACAGGCUCGGUUAGCCCCGGUUAGCGCGAUGCUAAAGAGCAGCUCUACCGGAGCAUGCCACCUCAACAGGUGCAAGUAAGCCUCCGGUUUGAUAUUCGCCGGAUAUUCGGUUUACCACCCAAUCGGAUUCAUCAACAUAAGUGACAUACAUUACGGGCUUAGUAUGUUGAGGACGGUUUAGGACGGCGUAUCGCGAAAAUCACAAACACAUGUUGUCGCCAUCGAUGUCUGUGCAACAACGUCAUUUACGUUCUGGCUGCUACCUGUUUUAGGGACCGUCAACAAGUUACACUCACCGACUGGUGGCAGAGACGUUACCAUGGAAUUGUUUCUGGAAAUAAAUCAUGUAAAAUAACAUAAAAAUCACUAAAAAAUACAUUUU
rnacentral:lncRNA from 1 species